rnacentral:sRNA from 1 species
UCAAUUCGAUUUAUAAAUAUUGAUGGUCAUUUGAACGAAACCAUACCGAAUUUUUUUGUAAACCAUUUGUUAUCUAUAUAUACAUUUUUGGAGGGGAUUUUUGAAGAUAAUGUUGAAGAUUUGAGCCAUAAUUCAACAAUUAAUUUAACUGGGUGGGUUUUACCCUGUUCGGUUUAACUCUGUUCGGAUCCUGGAUAACAUGUUUAAUUCUGUUCUGAUCUUGGAUAACAUUAACUUUUGGAAAAGUUACCUAACAACUAAUAAUUAAAAACGAAAAUUAAUGAUUUAAUUACCAAAUUUAAUAUAAACAAUAUCUCUAAACUAACCAUAUUUGUUAUUUACCUUAACUAAUUUCCUAAAAUA